rnacentral:lncRNA from 1 species
CAUCCAGGCCCUGGCAUAGCUGGUCACCUUGUCAUUCAGACUCCGGCAUAGUCUAUCACCUUGUCUUUCAGACCUUGACUCAAGCCGAGACUCGCCACAUAUUUCCGGUUGAUGAAUUGGCUCUGAUACCAAAUGUAACGGCCCAGCCCAUUAGCAACAAUAACUCGUUGGGCCCAAACACCGGCCCAAAAUGCUUAAGCCGAGUUAUUAUUACUAGUGUC